rnacentral:rRNA from 1 species
UACGUAGGGGUGCAAGCGUUGUUCGGAAUUAUUGGGCGUAAAGAGCUCGUAGGCGGUUUGUCGCGUCGGGAGUGAAAACCUUGGGCUUAACUCAGGGCUUGCUUUCGAUACGGGCAGACUAGAGGUAUGCAGGGGAGAACGGAAUUCUUGGUGUAGCGGUGAAAUGCGCAGAUAUCAGGAGGAACACCGGUGGCGAAGGCGGUUCUCUGGGCAUGAUCUGACGCUGAGGAGCGAAAGUGUGGGGAGCGAACAGG